GUGGGGAAUCUUCCGCAAUGGACGAAAGUCUGACGGAGCAACGCCGCGUGAGUGAUGAAGGUCUUCGGAUUGUAAAACUCUGUUGUCAGGGACGAAUGUGCGAACGUUGAAUAAGCGUUUGUAUUGACGGUACCUGACGAGGAAGCCACGGCUAACUACGUGCCAGCAGCCGCGGUAAUACGUAGGUGGCAAGCGUUGUCCGGAAUUAUUGGGCGUAAAGAGCAUGUAGGCGGGCUUUUAAGUCCGACGUGAAAAUGCGGGGCUUAACCCCGUAUGGCGUUGGAUACUGGAAGUCUUGAGUGCAGGAGAGGAAAGGGGAAUUCCCAGUGUAGCGGUGAAAUGCGUAGAUAUUGGGAGGAACACCAGUGGCGAAGGCGCCUUUCUGGACUGUGUCUGACGCUGAGAUGCGAAAGCCAGGGUAGCAAACGGGAUUAGAAACCCGGGUAGUCC
rnacentral:rRNA from 1 species